GAUGAACGCUGACAGAAUGCUUAACACAUGCAAGUCUACCAAGAAUCACUUCGGUGAGGAAUGGUGGCGGACGGGUGAGUAACGCGUAAAUAAUCUGCCCUUUAGACUGGGAUAUCCUUUGGAAACGAAGGUUAAUACCGGAUAUUAUGAGAUUGACGCAUGUUCAACUUAUGAAAGCUAAAGGAACUAGAGGAGGAGUUUGCGUCCCAUUAGCUAGUUGGUGAGGUAAAGGCGCACCAAGGCCACGAUGGGUAGCCGGCCUGAGAGGGUGAACGGCCACAAGGGAACUGGGACACGGUCCUUACUCCUACGGGAGGCAGCAGUGGGGAAUAUUGGACAAUGGACCAAAAGUCUGAUCCAGCAAUUCUGUGUGCACGAUGAAGGUCUUCGGAUUGUAAAGUGCUUUCAGUAGGGAAGAAAAAAAUGACGGUACCUACAGAAGAAGCGACGGCUAAAUAUGUGCCAGCAGCCGCGGUAAUAC
rnacentral:rRNA from 1 species